rnacentral:misc_RNA from 1 species
UUCUUUUCUAACCGCUUUCGAUACUAAGUCUAACGUCUAAGCUGCGCGCACACAGCGAGCAUCGCGAUAUAUUUACGCGAACGGGGAGAUCACGGCAAGAACGGUGGCAGCGGUCCAGCAGACGUGGCGUUACGGAAAUAGAUUUCGGCGGCGAUGCAACGGCCGCCCGCGGACGAGCAGCGCCGGUUCAAGCCAACACCGGAGACAGGGCCCAGUAUCGUGCGGACCAGUUCCCGAGAAAAACCGGAAAGGUCAACCCCCGGCGAGGUGUCCCACAUGAACAACCCGGGAGCUGAAAAAUGGCGACCGAUGGCCAUAUCGAAUCCGUCCACCAAGUUGCGAAUGGCGAGAUCCAUGCCUCACUGGGUCAUGGCGCAGCAGCAGCAGCGGGAAGCAGAGCAGCAGCUUCUUCGACCCCCGACGCCCCCGAAAAUCCCGCCACCGUCGCUCACCGGGGACUGUGGUGACCCCGACUACGAGAUCAUCGAGUUUCCGACCCGACCGCAAGCCCAGAAACCCUCGACCCCCCGAUCGUGUGCCGGUAAGUGCGCCUUGUGCGGCACCGAGAACGUGUUCGCGCGAUGCGACACGUGUAACGAGAUCUACUGCGAGGCCUGCGACGACAUGAACCACAAGCACCCGAAGCGGAGAGGCCACAUCCGCAGAAGGAUCCUGACUGACAACGCGAUCAGAAACAGACCGCCGCUCCCGCCGAAGGGGGAGAACCUGUUGAAUCCUCCGCCGGUCCCGCCGCCGCGAAGGAACCGCAAGUCCACCCAGGCUAAAUCGGCGCUAAUCAAAGGAUCCGCGCAAUUCCCUUUGCUCGACAAGGUCGGGAGUUUGAGGCGCAAUGUUUCUAAUGCGAAACCAUCGCUGGACUCGAGCACAAGAGUGUCGCAAUCUACGAAUACAUUAAACACAUCUUCCAACGAUGGUUCAGGAGCAGGAACAGACAAAAUGACUACACUACAGGAGAGGUAUAGAAAAUAUCAGGAAGUGAUGCGAGCUCAAGACGCGAACAGGCGACGACACCCAUCCGCUGAUACGAGGGACACUUCGAGCGGAAGACAACUCAAUGUAGGCAGUCCUAAACCGCCACUUCCACCUCCGCCGCCCCCUAGAACUAUGAUACAAUCAGCCAGCGUUUGUGAUUUGACCUCUGCUCAUAUGUGGAAUUCAGGAAUGCAUCAGGCCCAGUCGAUAGCACAUCUCGGACCUGGCGGCAUGCCGAUGAUGUGGUAUCCGCCAGCUAACUCCUGGGACGUAUCGAUGGGAGGCUCUAACAUUAGUCUACAUCAUCCAAACAUGUGGGGAUAUCCCAUGGGCUAUCCGUCAGUGCAAAUGCUACCUCCACAUUAUCCGGGAUCUCUCUCUAGAGGACACAGUCCGGCCAGGAGCGUCAAGUCCAGUAGAAGAUCAAGGGCGCCGUCUCCGUCUCCCAGUCUGAAAUCCAAAAAAUCUUACGCUUCGAGAUCGCGAUCGAGGAGAUCACCCGGGUCACCGUCAGAUGCUAGUUCCGAGAACUCCGAUGAAUCUGAUGUGGACGACAGACUUUCUCGUGGAUCCAGAAGUAGGCGCGGCAGCGUUCCCAAAAGCAUACGACAGCGAAGUUAUCAUGACGACGAGACCAGAAGUCUCGCGUCUAGAGGUCGACGAGAAAGAUUAAUGUCCGAAGAAAAAAUAAUAAAUGCCGAUGAUCGAUGGUCUGAAAGUCCGUCCAGUAAACAAUACUCGACAUCCUCGAGAAGCUAUGAUGAAUUUCAAAAAAGCAAUACUAUCUCUUCUGGACGACGAUACAAUGACGAUGAUCACUCGGUUUCGAAAAUAGAUCCUCGGCUGGAUCGCAUUCAGAACGGGACUUAUCGUCGAAGACGAAGUAUCGACAAUGAGUCCUCUGAUCGAAAAGUUAACGCGCCGGGCCGAACACGAGUUACAAGCUCGUCUGAUGAUCAUUUCGAGAGGGUGGAAAAUGCUUUGAAGAGAGCGUCGUCUCUUCGAAGGGACAUAAUGCUGGAUGACCUGGAACGAUCCUCUAUUCGUCGCGAUUCUCGUAGAUCAUCCUUUGAGAGCGAUGGUCAGAUCAGGAAGACACCUUCCCGAGAUGUGACCUCUCCAAAAAGAACACCCGGAGAAAGAACACGCCUUCUGGAGAGGCAGUCUUCUCAAGGUGGACAUUCAGAUAGGGAUCGCGUGAACGUAGACGAGAUCGAAUCGCGUUCGUCAAGAAAAGAUCAACAAGUGCGUGAUGUCUCACGAGAACGCAAUCUUGCGAGGAGAGAAUCGCUCCAACGAAAGGAUAUUCUUGAUGAUCUAGACCGGACUUCCAACAAACGAAGUUCCGAUAGAUCUUCGUUCGAAUCCGACAAUCAAGGCAUUAGAAAAACACCCUUCAAGGAAAUAAAAAAACAGUUGGACAAGGAUAAUCGAAAUCUGCCUGAAACGAUAAGUAAUGAAGUUAUGGAUCGUCAGCGAUCGAUCGAGAAGGACCGUCAGUCGAAGGAUUCAGUACGAACUGCCGAGGCGCAACAAAAGAGACAGGACAGCGGACAAGAAGAGACGAAACAACAACAAGCGCAAACGUCUCAGUCUCAGAAAGAGUCAAGGGUAACAAAGAGAGACACUGUUGAAAGUGCGAGCACAUCAUCUAAGAAAAUCACGUCCGACGAGGCGGUUGGCGUAAUGGAAAUUCCGAAAGAGGAAUGGGCCUGCGAACAUUGCACCUUCAUCAACAAGAUCAAUGAUCGCGUUUGCGUAGUUUGCUGCAAGACGAAGAGCAGCGCAUUGCCACCGAGCACCUUGAAUGACGACUCCGUGGCCGGCCCGAUCGAACAUCAGGCACCGAAAAACGAAGCGCCGAACAGCGUCGGCGAUCCCAAUCACGAGCCCGAUAAGCGGAUCAAGAAGAUCUCCAACAGCGAAGAGAGCGGCGACAGCGGAUCCGUCAAGAAUAAAGAAAUUGCUCCAGACAAUGAUUCUCUCGUAGAGAACUCUAAAACUGCAAUCACGGCUGUAGCCUCACAAGCAAAAGAAACGUCGUCGAAAUCGACAGACGCGAUCGAUGAGAACUUGUCGUUAGAAGUGUCAUCCUCGACGUUAACGUCCUCUUCGAUUGCGAAAACCUCCGAGGUAGACAUGAGCGUGACGUCACACGAGGAAAAAAUUCAAGGAAAACUUUUGAAGAACCAUUCAGUAUCUACAGGAACAUCUCCUCCGCCACAGAGUAUCUCAACUCAAACUUAUGACUAUCUCCCUGCAAAAGGGACUCUCAAAAGGUCCGCGUCUGUAGCAACGUCAAAGAGUUACUUGUAUUACGACGAUAGCGACGGUGAGGAGCAGAGCGGAUUCGUAAACAGUCCCGAUUUGUAUCCGCGAGCAUUGCAGGAACAGUAUCUUCAGCAACUGUUAACCGGACAGCGAAGUAGAGAGCGGACCAGAAGAAACUCCAUCGACUCGUCCCAUCUCUAUUAUCGUUCCAGGGAACCCAGCCAAUCGAGAUACGUAGAGACAGGUCCUAGUACCAGUCAAGGAGUCUCGACGUUAACGCGUCAAGGGUUGGAGAUAGUGGAGCUCCUGCGAGAAGCCGAGAAGCAGGGAUUCACGACCGACGACGUGCAAGUCGCGUUGGCGCAAGGCGCAUCAAAUCCGAUCGAGUGGCUUCAGACGCAGUGGCCGCAUCUGGUUGAGACUGUGCAAGUCUUAGUGACCACGCAGGGCAAAGAACUGAAGGAGAACAGCAUCGGUGUGCUCUCGCCGGCUGAGGCAAAGGAGGCUCUGCGAUAUGUCAAGGGUGACAUGUGGAACGCAGUCGCGACUGCCAUUCAACGCAGGCAGCAGAAAUGCGAACAGAUCAUGGCAAAGGGAAACUUCGCGCUUGCGGACGUUAUCAGGGCUCUCGACAAUAACGCUGGUGUCGAGGAUGCCACUUUGCUCGAGCUGCAGAAAAAUCAGCUCAAGCCUUUUUUAAUGAGGAUCUGGGGUCCUCCGAUCGGGGUGGAAAACGAGGAGGCUGCACCGCAUGAAGACGCAGCGGGUGCGGUCGGUGGUGGGGCGGUGGAACAAAUUCCAAAUAUGUCCGAUACCGAGGCGCAGAAGCAGGUAAUAUCACCAAUUGUUGAUCAUUUCGUGGCGUUGCAGGCCGACUUUCAAAAGCAACUGGCAGCCCUCAGAGAACUGACCGAUAACUGGCGACACGAGAAAGAUCCCCCGAACAAAUUGGGUAAUAAUAAGUCUGAUAAUCUGUACGAACGCUCUGAUGAGCUCACUGUUCUAAUCGAUGCAAAUCUGGUCCCAAGGGCCGUACAACAAGCGCCCGACGUAGCGGAGCCGAACGAUCUUGCGAUCGCGCGGCAAGAACAGGCGACUGCCGUAGAUUCGCGGGACGACUAUUCUUUGAACGCUACGAAACCGACAGAAGGCCUGAUCCAAGUAGACACCGCGUUGCCCAUGGAAAUUCCCGCGACCAUAAUCGAUGAUCUCAUGAGGACAAGUGCGACAAACUCCUCACGCGUGCCUGAACAUUCUUCUGAAAUUGACAAUGCUAACCGUGCGGUCGGAGAAACAUCGUCAAUUGACUCUGACAAAACCGUCAUGCGAAUUACCGAGUCGUCCGAUAUACCAACAUCCGAUGGUCAAAAGAGCAACAACGUCGAGGUGAAACAAGCCGCGCCGUCGCGCGAAGAGACGAGAGCAACGGGCAGCGACAUCUCGACGACAUCGAUCGACGAGGCUGCAGUGACGACGAAAGUAGUUACGAAUUCACUGGAUGAACAGGAAAGACUGUUGCCAAAUAAUGCCGGAGUUGAAGAAUCCUCAUCGAGCGAAGCUACGGUUAAUAUAACGAAUAAUACGGAACUGGGUCAGUCCUUUUCCGCAUACCAGGAAACUUUGAGAGCUGAAUUAUCUUCUGAUAUAGUGGGACGGAGCACCGCGACGGGGAACAGCAAGUCACUCGAAGUUGGAAAGUCUGCGCAACUGAACGGAGCGCUUGGUGUCUCCGUCCAGGAGUCGAGUGGUCCCCAACGAGCCGAUGUUCUGCCGGAGAAGACAUCAUCACAGGACGUAACUACAAUCGCGGAUCCGGAAAACAUGAUCUCUUCAGAUCUCUCCGUGAGGGAUCUUUCCGCACGGGAACAAUCUGAUCGGUCUAUCACAGAGGAAGUUCCCAAGCAGAACAUGGAGACUCUACUGUCCGCUGUGAAAUCGUUGCCGGAGCAGUUUGUGACGUCGUUCAUAACGGCGAUGCAGAUGCUGUCGCCCGGGAAAAGUGACGUCGACGCAACUUCUGACGUGCGGCUCAUGAACCAAUUAAAUACUCUACACAGCAUGAUGAAGACAGAGGACCCGAAAACCAACGCGCUCGGAGUCGAGAUCACCGAUAGGACGAAUGUUGACGUUCCGCGGGACUCGGCGGACGUUCCACCGAAUAACGACGAAGAGAAGCCGCCUGCUUCUCGAGCAGCCGUGCUUGAGAAGAAAGUCGGAUCGCGGUUGCCACGGGAGAAGAAGGAUCGGGAGGAAGGAGACAAACGUUCGGAGAAAGGUCCUGAGAAAUCGAGAAGCGGCAAGAUCGUCGAUAAGGAGAUCGGCAGAUCCAAGCCUCCGGAUUCUCGGAUGGCGAGGCCCCGCUCGAGCGUUCCGGACAUUAAGCAGCAGCAUCAGGAUGUCAGAUCGGUACGUACAGACACGAACGCACAGUCCGACGUCUCUCAAACUAACAUCGCAACGGAUCUGACACCCGAAACGUUUUCCAACUCGGACUCAACGGUGGAAGAAGAAGAUAUUCCCGAGGAAUCGCGGACUACGAACGUGAUAGCAGUAAACGUUGCCGGGGAGACACAUUCGCGUAAGAAUUCUUUAGACAUAAUCGACACGCAGUUCACAGGAAAUAACAAUCAAGAGAGACCUGUCGCAGACGAAACCAUGUCGGAGGCGAGGUCAGCUGGGGAAACUCAUUCAGGUGAAUCAUCGAGUUCUCACAUGCGAGCACCGUUAACAGUAUCUUCAGCGCAUGAUCAGUCUGUCGUCCAGAAACCUCACGAGCUCGCGAUCGCAUCCGGCGAUGGCUCGACCGAUGCGUCGCCAUCAUUAUUAUCAUCAUCAUCAUCAUCAUCAAAGGAAGCGGAAAGCUCUUCCGAAAAAGCGCCAUCUCAUGAAAAGCUUCUCGCUGAUAACGCCUUCACAGACACUGAUCCACUGCUAAAAAGCGACUCAACGCGAGAUAAAAGUUCAUUAGCUUCAAAUGAUUCUAACGCUAGAGAAUCUGCUUCUCGAUCUACGAAAACGAGAGAUUCGCCCGCUCGUAGUUCUAACACCGAUCGUGCGCCCGCCGCGACUAAUACGCAAUUGACCGACCAGCGGAAUGUUAACAAACGGGACGAACGGCAAUUAAACGAUUCAUCUCGCGCGCGUAUUUUAACACCAGCCUCGCCGACUCCAUCCCCCGCGAAAGCGCCCGAUCGUUCUUCUCUCGACGUUAAAUUACCGCCCGUCGAAAUACUCGAUAAUCACGAUGGUGCGACAUUGCGUCAUGAUACAAAGCCGAUCGUACCGAAGAAUGCGGUGCACGUUUCGGAAAAAGUGGAACAGACAAUUUCGGUCACAUAUCACACUCCCGCGAGCGACGAUAAAAAUGAAGCCACGCUGAAAGAAAACGUGUCCGUUGAGCGAAAUACGGUCGAUGAUUUAUCCAUUACUCAAUCGACGACCCCAUCGCCAUUAACACGCUCGCAUUCCUCUCCCGCGGAAAUAAAUUCAAAUAAAUCUCAUGAUCAAGGGAAGGAAGUUACAUUUAUCUCGUCAACAUCCGCCGAUUUUUCAAUGGUCAAACGAAAUCAAGACAAAUUAUUGAAUCGGACAAAAAGUCCAGAGGUAGUUGCACUUCGCGUAGCGCACGUAGAAGCAACAAUGUCACUCUCUUCUCCUCCAAAAAGUAAUAUCGAAGCCAAUGCUUGCCCCGAAAAUACCUCGCAUCUUGAAAUAUCGAACGGCUUUGACGACCCGAAAGCUUCGAGAGUUAUUAAAAUUGCAGAGGAUGCCAAAACGGCAUCUAUUCCCGAAACUUCAGAAUCAAUUGUCCGCGAAAAGUUCGUAAAUGCAAAUAUUGAUAAUCCUCUCGAAGGAAAUACACGCGGUCAGUUAUGCGAAUUAUCGAACGAUAGUAAUAACGACAGGCAGUCUCUUCGACUACCUGUCGAACGCGAUCUUCCCUCGGAGUCGAAAAAAAGUACCUCGUGUCCCGCCCUAUGCGACGCGGAAGUUCGUUCGUCCGGGGACGAAGUUUCUCAAUCUCACGGUGACGGGAAACAGGACGCACAAACGUCAGAUUCAGCGACAAGCAACAUCUUACGUGCGCUUAAAAAUCUCAAUAUAUUCUUCGCAGCGCCGACCGAGGGGAGAAAUGCCGCCUCAACGGUCGGCGAAGGCUCCCUUCCGGAUCCUAUUAUGGCGAAUGUCGUCGGCGACGUAACGCCCGGAAUACCUGACACCUUCGAAAUAAAGAUAUCGGAAUCACCGGUGACAACGGUGAACGAUUGCGCGCCGAUAAAGAACAUCGCGAGUGUCGUCGAGACCGGUCGAACCGGAGGCGUUGAUACGAUCGGCGCGGAAAUCGGUGCGAGAGAUGUCGAUUCGUCCGAGAACGAAGUUUCAAUUGUCGCACAUAACGAACCGGUUGAACCGGCGCGGUCAAAAUUACCGUUGGAAAAAAACAGCGAACGGGUGAAUCAAUCUCGCAAAAGCGCGAUCGCGAAACCCGUCGUGAGAUCGAGAUCGCCUGUUAAAAAGAUCGUCCGAAGAAAGUCGCCCGUUAAGAUAAUAAAAAAAUCGGCCAGUGUGCCAAAGAAAAACUUAGCGCGGAAUAGCGCAAGUCCAUUCAGUACAAUCGAUAUAACGUCCGUCGCAAAAGCGAAAGUGACGACCAGCGAGAUCGCUAAGAGGUCGAAUCGAACAACGCAAUCCGUCAAAUUACGAAUUAAAGAGCCUUCAAAGUACGCGAGCGGCGGGACGGACGGUAAAAAUAAAUCGGUUGCUGAUAACAAAAUGGAGAGAGAUAGUUCAAAAUCUGAAACCUCUUUGUCGUCGGAAAUACCAGAUAAAACUAUUGAACGGUCAUUAAAUAAUAGCAGCGCGCAAAAAAGUAUUGAAAAUAUCAAAGUAAAUGAUAAUAAAAGGGUUUCCACGUUCGAAGAGAAAGCGUCGAUAGUCAAUAACGCGACCAAUCUCGAACCGCAAACUAAAUUGCCUGUUGUUAAAAAAUAUAAUGGAAAUAAAUCGGAAAAUUCUAAAAAGAGAUCGCUCGAAUAUUUUAAAAACAAAAAUAUUGAGGAUGUCCUAAAUAAAAAUCCGGGAGGCUCGAAUAGUACGAAAGUGAAGGCUUUUGAAAAUCAAGCAGUAGAGAAGGUAAAUCGAAAAACUAAAAUCUCGAGUGGCAAAAUUUCAGUAAAAAUAGAGAAGGAUAAUUCAAAACCUAAAACAGCUUUACCGUCGAAAAUACCUAUUCUGAUGCAACGAAAAAUCGCUCAAUCUGCAGAUACUGCUGUGUCAAACCCCUGUAAAAUAAAUCUAAAUGACACGUCUUUAUCGAAAAAUGCGUCAACCAAAUUGCCAGUGAUGUCUCAAGCAGUUUCGAAAUUAUCGCUACAAAUUCAGGAAAGAGCGAACGUAUCGAGUCCACCAACUGUGCAGAAAAUUGAUUCCGAUACUAACAAACUGAUGAGAAAUCAAAUUAAAUCUCGUAACGGAGGUACGAUUGAAAUUACAGAAAAUGUGAAAGACAAGCAAAUCUCGGAGGAGAGUCAUGAUAAAGAGAGCACCGUGGGAAGUGAAGAAACCGAAGAGCCGUCGAAAGUUAAGUCAAUAGAAUCGGAAUUAAACGAGAAUUCACAAGCGUCGAACUCGACGCAUAACGAUCCGUCCACGGAUCUUGGCAAACAAUUGGAAGUCGAAAACGCAAUUGAGGAAAGCUCGGAUGCUUUCAGCUCGAGUUCCGAGUAUUCUGAAGAGGACGAAGACACAGGUACGGCGAAGUACAUUUCUGAUCAUAACUCGGAAUACAAUUCCGUCGAGGAGGAGUUCACGGACGCGGAGUUGUUGUUGGAAAAAACGCUAAAUGAGAUAAGGUCUGAAAUAUCGGAGUCUGAGGAGGAGGGGUGCACAGGCGAAUCCGAGGAAAGUGAGGACGUCACUUAUUCGUACGAGACGGAAAGCCACGAUCAUGAUGAUUCCACGUCGUUCGACGACUCGGUACGGGAGAUUAAGUCGAGUGAGCUCGAGGAUUCGGCGGAGGAAGAUGCAUAUGAAGAACUACCAUCCGAAGGGGAAGAAGCGAAUGAAACUUUGGAAGAAUUUCAAACGCCUGAUAAAGAGAUCGAUGAUACAAUACACAACGAAACGACUAAUGACCGAGCCAAUAUUUCGAGUGCAAUGGAGAAUAAUUCUCAGGUCGCGCAAGAAGAUGGAAAAAGUAAUUUGAAGGCACCAACUCUGGAAGCCACUGUGGUCAUAGAAUUAUCUCGAUCGGAAAUAAACACGGAAAUCGAUGAAAAGAUAUCGGAAGUUUUUCAAAGUCUUGAAACAGAGUCUAACGUUGUAACGGAUUUAGCAGCGUCCUCGACGAAGGUUGGGCCGAGUAUAAAAUCUAAGGAAAAUAUUUCGUUGAAAGCGAACGAGACGCAGAAAAAUGAGACGGAACUCGUGGACGCGAACAAAACUGAGGAGAGAGAUCAAUCGACAGUACAGAACGACACAAUAAAGACACUGAGAGUCACGAAUAACGAAUCACGUGAGAAACGCGUGAAGGCAGGCCGAAGGGCGAGUACGGGGUGUAAAGAGGUGAAAAUCGAGAAAGAUGACACGUUAAAGGGGGUGGAUCGGGCGCGAGCGCCCAAGAAACGAUUUUCCCUCGUAGCCAGUUGCAUCCGUCGGUUCGAGGGCGAAGAGAAUGCCGAUAGGGCGCAUGUGGAAAGCAUCAGGCGCAAGAUACAAGGAUCUCCCAAAACGGAGCGGGAGGUCAGUAGAUGAGAGUUGAGUGAGCCGAAUGACAUGACGCGACUUCCCCCUCGUAGAAAUGUCAGUUGCCAAAAAGUACCCGCGAACGUACGAGUCGCCAAGAACCGGACCUUUUCCACCAGUUGGCAGGCCAAUGUCUACAAACAGCUCGAAAUGCCAAGUGGGUGGGAAGGGGGAUCGAACGCCACAAAUAGGUGUUUCCCCUCAAUGUUUUAACCGCGCGAUCAAUUGGUUAAUCGUUUAACAAGACGAAACGUAGCUAACGCGAAGAGAAUAGCGCGUCGUCUUCUGGCGGAGGGUCGAGCCGCGAAUUACGAUGAGGCCGAGGUCGCUGCUAGUUUGCUGACCCUUAAGUUCGGGGAUGCGGAGGCACUUCAGGCCGCGAAAGAAUGCUCC